rnacentral:rRNA from 1 species
GACAGAGGCCUCAAGCGUUAGGCGGAAUCACUGGGCUUAAAGCGUGUGUAGGCGGAUCGUUAAGUGUCUUGUGAAAUCCCACGGCUCACCCGUGGAACUGCUGGGCAUACUGGCGGUCUUGAGCAAUCUAGGGGCAGAUGGAACAAGUGGUGGAGCGGUGAAAUGCGUAGAUAUCACUUGGAACGCCAAAGGUGAAGACAGUCUGCUGGGGAUUUGCUGACGCUGAGACACGAAAGCCAGGGGAGCGAACGGG